AGCUCCAAUAGCGUAUAUUAAAGUUGUUGCAGUUAAAAAGCUCGUAGUCGAAUUUUGGGUCUAGUUGAAUGGUCCUGUCGCAAGAUAGGUACUUUUUGGCUGGAUCUUUCCUUCUGGCGAACUAUUGUGCUAUUCAUUUAGUGUGAUAGGGAUCCAGGACUUUUACUUUGAGAAAAUUAGAGUGUUCAAAGCAGGCUUACGCUUGAAUAUAUUAGCAUGGAAUAAUAGAAUAGGACUUUGGUUCUAUUUUGUUGGUUUCUAGGACCGAAGUAAUGAUUAAUAGGGACAGUUGGGGGUAUUAGUAUUUAAUUGUCAGAGGUGAAAUUCUUGGAUUUAUGAAAGACUAACUUCUGCGAAAGCAUUUACCAAGGAUGUUUUCA
rnacentral:rRNA from 1 species